GAUGAACGCUAGCUACAGGCUUAACACAUGCAAGUCGAGGGGAAACGGCAUUGAGUGCUUGCACUCUUUGGACGUCGACCGGCGCACGGGUGAGUAACGCGUAUCCAACCUUCCCAUUACUGUGGGAUAACCUGCCGAAAGGCAGACUAAUACCGCAUAGUCUUCGAUGACGGCAUCAGAUUUGAAGUAAAGAUUUAUCGGUAAUGGAUGGGGAUGCGUCUGAUUAGCUUGUUGGCGGGGUAACGGCCCACCAAGGCUACGAUCAGUAGGGGUUCUGAGAGGAAGGUCCCCCACAUUGGAACUGAGACACGGUCCAAACUCCUACGGGAGGCAGCAGUGAGGAACAUUGGUCAAUGGACGGAAGUCUGAACCAGCCAAGUAGCGUGCAGGAUGACGGCCCUAUGGGUUGUAAACUGCUUUUGUAUGGGGAUAAAGUUAGGGACGUGUCCCUAUUUGCAGGUACCAUACGAAUAAGGACCGGCUAAUUCCGUG
rnacentral:rRNA from 1 species